rnacentral:rRNA from 1 species
UACGAAGGGGGCUAGCGUUGCUCGGAAUCACUGGGCGUAAAGCGCACGUAGGCGGAUUGUUAAGUCGGGGGUGAAAUCCUGGAGCUCAACUCCAGAACUGCCUUCGAUACUGGCGAUCUUGAGUCCGGGAGAGGUGAGUGGAACUCCGAGUGUAGAGGUGAAAUUCGUAGAUAUUCGGAAGAACACCAGUGGCGAAGGCGGCUCACUGGCCCGAUACUGACGCUGAGGCACGAAAGCGUGGGGAGCAAACAGG